AUAGAAGAAAGAAAUUAAAUUAUUUUCUUCUUUAGUUUUAUUUAUUAUAUCAUUUUUACCCUAUUUUAGUUUUUAUACCCUUUUGUUUAUCCUUUGGAAAUAUCCGCUACAUUCUAUUUGGUAUGUUAAAUUUAAAUUUGCAAUUUAUUCAGGUAGUAAUUAGACAUAUGUUACUAUGAGGCAUAUGUGGUUAUCAUUGGACCAUAGAUUUUGAACUAUAAAAGACUUUAUAAGUUAAAGAUUUAUGUCCCCAACCCCAAUUUAGAGAUAAAGAAACUGAGACCAGAUAAAGUAAAUCUUUUGGCUGAAGUUACUCUGCUAGUAAGGGUCUGAGGCAGGAUUUGAACCCAGGUCUUACCAACUCCUACUCUAGUACAAAAUGGUGACUAUCACUACUUAGUUGUUAUUUGUUAAUUAAAUGGUUUUCAAUAUGGUACAAAUAAAGCCACAAGCAUCUGAACUCUGAUGAUUCUAGCAUCCUAGACAUCAUGCCUAGAAGGGAUGUUGAGCCAAAUUCCUCAUUCUGCAAGAGGACAUUGAAGGGAAGUGGUAGCUGAGACUGAAGCUAUGAUCUCUUCAUUCCCUGCCUAAGGCUCAAACCAAGACUCACCAGUCUUUUAGCCUGCAAGAUCUUUGAUGUGAAGCUGAUGGAAAAACCGAUAAGUGGAAUAUGAGGCAAUAUCCAACAAAUGGAAACAUGUCCUGGAGAGUUUCCACCUCCCUGCUUUAGUGAAUUGUUGGGUUGGUACAUAGAGGAGGGAGGAACCUCCACAAACAAUUCUCAAGACAAAGGCAGGAAGGCUGUAGUAAUUACUGAACACCAGAAACCAGAGAAUUGUCAAGUCCUCGAGAUGCAAGGAUGUCCUCAGAUGUCCCCUGGUCCAGCCGCCUCUGCAGUACUGAUGUCUUGGGCAACGCUCCAUCCAGUGGCCAUGUCAGCUCUGCUCGAAUGAUCCGAGAGCCCAUUUUAUUGUUGGCUUCUGCUGAAAUAGAAACUUGGACCAAGCCAUUACAAAACCUUUGAAAGUGCUGAAGAUCAUGAAAUAAAGAGCUGCUUUGGGGAAUAAUCUUGAGGUCA
rnacentral:lncRNA from 1 species